rnacentral:lncRNA from 1 species
CUAGAGAUCACCAGCGAGAUAGAGCAGGAGAUAGGGAGUCUGAACUUGGAAGCCAAUGUGACAGCAGAUGGGGCCUUGGCCAUGGAAAAGGGACUGGCCACUCUGAAGAGCGAGAUGAGAGAGGUGGAAGGGGAGUUGGCCAGGAAGGAGCUUGAGUUCCACACGGAUAAAGACUCCUUGCAGCUGGUGAUUACUGAAGCCCAGCAAGCUGAUGCCAGAGCCAAGAGCACGGGAGUUACGAUCCAAGACACGCUCAACACAUUGGAAGGCAUCCUGCGCCUAAUAGGUCUGUGGAGCAGCCACAGCGUUCCAGCCCCGGGACUGUCCCCAGAGGACUCGAUAUUCUUAGUCGGGAUGGAUGGGGAUCUCAACUUUCCUUGAGACCAUCUGGAAAUCUGCUUUGUCUCAGGGCCCAGACACUUGGGCCAGGUUGCAAUACAUUUUCUCUGUUUUACCAUCUCU